UAAACUCAGAGUUGGUAGGUGGCGGAAUAUGCACCAAAGCUGGUUUGCCAACCACCAUUAACAUCAAAGAAGAAGAAGAAGAAGAAGAGGAAGGCCUACCGGAGCAGACACAAACAAGCUUAGAGGAAACUCUGAAAGUACAUGAUGUGAUGAAAAACUCAGCUUCUUCUGGAGGAUUACCUUAUUCAGUGAAAUCAGUUGUGGAUUGCUUGUCCAUGAUACUGGAUGUCCGUGAUUUGUUUGUUUGGACUAUUUUUUGUUAGGAUAUUAUUUAUUUAUGUUUUUCGUUUUGUUUAAGGACUAAGGACUGUAUGGACUAUCUUCAUGGACCAUCAUUUUCACCUUUAUUUGACAGUGGGACAGGAGAGUUACUGCGCAGUAAUGUGUUUUUAAUGUCGUGCUGAAGAGUUGCAGUGGUUACCAGAAGCAGCUUCCUCUCGUUCUCAGAGCAUGCGCACCACUCUGCUGCUUAAUUUAUCUGUACUAAAAUCACAAAACGAAGUGUAAACAAAUGCGUUUCGAUUUAUUAUAUAAGCCUGCAUCAUCUGACAUGCAGUGCAAUUUUUCUUAAGAGUUAUAAAAUGCCAAACGUCGUUCUAAAGCUGAUCGAACACAUUGUGCUACUAAAAAUGAAAGUGAAAGUAGCCUACAUUGUGCUUUAUCUGCUGCGCCAUUUUACACCCGUGUUUGAGAAUCGUUAACUAAGAAAUAAUGAUCAUUCCAAGUAUCCAAUGAUUUUUGAAUAUGUAUGUAAUGUAGGAAUUUACGUGAUGCUGAUGGGAAAACUCAAUUUCGAGCAUGACAAAAAAUAUCCUCAAUAAAAAAUCAGAAAUCCAAUUCAUGAAGACUGAAUGAAUCAUGGAGGACACGCAAGCAUUCAGAGAUGGAGAUUUUUCUCCAGGAUGCAGUCAAUUUCAGGAGGACAGAUCAAACUCAUCAGAGCCCAGCUGUGUGUCCAUGAAGAGUAACCAGUCUAUAGAAAAACCAUUACAUUUUCAGGGAAGACACAUAUCAACUGAUCUGAGUGAUCAGUCUGUGGACACUCCAGGAACAUUUACAGGAAAACACAUGUCAUCUAAUAUGAGGUACAACAUUUCUGUCUAGAUGUAAAGAUAUCUGUCCCUUUUACUGAUCUAAUGUAUGUUGUAAUCUAGUAUUUUAUACUUUCAGUCGUGACUCUCAACUGGACCAAAGCAGAUUCAAAUCAGAUCUGCUGAGUAAGUUUGGGCGUCUGUAUGAAGGAACAGCGAUGCAGGGAAACCCAACUCUCCUGAAUGAGAUCUACACAGAGCUCUACAUCACAGAGAGUGAGAGUGGAGAGAUCAAUAAUGAGCAUGAGGUGAGACAGAUUGAGACACAAUCCAGGAGAGCAGCCACAGAGGACACGGC
rnacentral:lncRNA from 1 species